rnacentral:rRNA from 1 species
AUUGAACGCUGGCGGCAUGCCUUACACAUGCAAGUCGAACGGUAACGGGCCUUCGGGUGCCGACGAGUGGCGAACGGGUGUGUAAUGCAUCGGAACGUACCCAUCAGUGGGGGAUAACUCUCCGAAAGGAGGGCUAAUACCGCAUAUUCUGUGCGCAGGAAAGCGGGGGACCGCAAGGCCUCGCGCUGAUGGAGCGGCCGAUGUCAGAUUAGCUAGUUGGUGGGGUAAAGGCCUACCAAGGCGACGUUCUGUAGCGGGUCUGAGGGGAUGAUCCGCCACACUGGGACUGAGACACGGCCCAGACUCCUACGGGAGGCAGCAGUGGGGAAUUUUGGCCAAGGGGGGCAACCCUGAUCCAGCCAUGCCGUGUGGGUGAAGAAGGCCUUCGGGUUGUAAAGCUCUUUCGGCCGGGAAGAAAUCGCAUCUCCUAAUACGGGGUGUGGAUGACGGUACCGGAAUAAGAAGCACCGGCUAACUACGUGCCAGCCGCCGCAGUAAAAC